rnacentral:lncRNA from 1 species
CUUAAAGUUAUUUGCAUUCUUGAAAACUAUUGUGUAACGUUUAUGCUAUAUCAUAUUGACUCAUUUAGGCACAUGUGUAUCCCAUUGUUCCGCAUUUGCUUUCGAUAUGUGCCUAUUUCAUUUCCUUUCAAAAUCCGAAUAUCAUUGUGAAAGAUUAUUGCUUACUUCGUAUUGACUCGUAAAGGCACAUGUACGUUUUGUUGUUCCGCGUGUGCUUCCGAUAUGUGCUACUUAUUGUUAAAAUUGUCCUCUUGUACUCUAGUGUUGUGGGAUUGUUUGGACCUUUGCCAGAAAUGGUAAAGAGUGUUAUUCUGGACCUUUGCCAGAAAUGGUAAAGGGUGUUCUUCUGGACCUUUGCCAGAAAUGGUAAAGGGUAUGUGCUUAGAGCCUACGAUGCUCUACCGGUCCCCUUUGGCUUCACCUAGACGUGGGUGGAUGGAGCUCCCAGACGUGGGAGACUUCUGUCAUGUGGUCAUUCAGAAAUGGAUGAAUCACAUUCUGACUGAGAUCCCACUACACCUUCUGUAUGUUUGAUAUGAUAUCUAGAGCUUUGGUUAUGUGUUUCUGUACAUGCUUUGGAUAAGA